CCUGACUUUCCUCCCGUGCUCCUUCAGUGAUUUUCUUUCUCACUCGAUGUUGUGUAGGCAGGUGCUUUGGGUGCUGGUGAGCUACACAUGAGGUGCCAACAGCAGCAUGCAAAACACUGCUCGUUUCUGAGAAAGAGACCUCCAGCUCCCCGCUGCUUGCUCCAGGACAUCCCAGCUGGGCCACCAGGAUCUCCCUUCUCCUCCAGCGAACACUGAGCUCUCUCCUGGCUUCCAGGAAGAGGAAGAAGAAUGGCUGAAUUCUAUAAGGAAAUUAAGAGCUUUGCUGGCAAAAGAUGAGCACUGCAUUGACCCACAUUAGCAUUCUUUUCCAGGCUAGCAUUAAAGGAGAGUGCAUCAUCUAAGCUUCACUUAACUACGGAGCCUUCACCACCUCUGAUGCAGGAAAAUAGCCUUACUCCUUUGGAAACCAAUGGUAAACAUAAAGCACAGAAAGCUUUGCUUAAGAUGUUCUAAUUGGCUUGAUCCACUGCAAACAACCCCAGGACUGCUGCCUCCCUGCCGGGACGGAGGCUGAAACCACCCUUGCUCUCCCUGCACAGCUCCUGCGGGCUCGUACCUGCGGCCGGGCAGACAGACUCUGUGCACUCAGCGCUCGGACUGGAAAGGCUGCCAGUCAAGCACUCCUCUCCAGGGGAGGGAUGAAUCUCUGCUAGGAAGGGCUGCUUAAGGGCCAUGUUUUCCUGUAAAUGUUUGUCAGAAGAUUCUUCAGCUCACUUCUAUGCCACAGUGCAAUUGCUGUUCCUUACCAUACAUCUUCUUUUGCUUGAGAAGCAGAAUGCCCGAGCUGCUAAUAUGCUCAUUUGUAUAUAGGCACCAACAAGCCCCUUCCCUUAUAUAAUUAUAUCAGCUCAGCUUUUUCCUAGGGCUUUCUUCUCCUCCUUGUUAUGCCUUUGCCAGCGCUGAGCAUCUCUCUGUGUGCCUCUAAAUUAUCUUCUUGGCUCAAUCAGUGCUCAGAGCUUUAAUCAAACUGAAUUCAGACUCCGCAGCCUUUCUCAUUAGUUUGGUUACACUUAAAGAACUGCAGAGACAAAUAACAUUCAUUGCUAUUACACUUGGAAUCACUUCUGGGAUCAAAUUAUCUUCCACACCUGGAUGAAGCUGCUGACUUGGCUGGGGUUGCAGGCACAGAUAGGAAAAUAAACCAUAACCAGAUCAUUGGAUACGUAAUAAAAUAAUGCUUUGAGAAAA